rnacentral:lncRNA from 1 species
CAUUUUUAAUAGGGUUAUUUGAUUCUCUAGAGUCUAACUUUGUGAGUUCUUUGUAUAUUUUAGAUAUUAGCCUUCUAUCAGAUGUAGGAUUGGUAAAUGUCUUUUCCCAAUCUGUUGGUUGCCAUUUUGGCCUAUUGACAGUGUCCUUUGCCUUACAGAAGCUUUGUAGUUCUAUGAGGUCCCAUUUGUCAAUUGUUUAUCUUAGAGCCUGAGCCAUUGGUGUUCUUUUUGGGAAAAUUUCCCCUGUGCUGAUGUGUUUGUGGCUAUUUCCCACUUUCUCUUCUAUUAGACUUGGUGUAUCUGGUUUUAUGUGGGGGUCUUUGAUCCACUUGGUCUUGAACACUGUACAAGGAAAUUAAUAUGGAUCAAUUUGCAUUCACCUACAGGCAGACUGCCACUUAGAUGGGCACCAUGUGUUGAAUAUGCUGUCUUUUUCCCCACUGUAUAGUUUUGGAUUCUUUGUCAAAGAUCAAGUGGCCAUAGGUGUGUGGGUUUAUUUCUGAGUCUUCAAUUCUAUUCCACUGAUCAACCUGUCUGUCUCUGUACCAAUACCAUGCUGUUUUUAUCACUAUUGUUUUGUAGUACAGCUUGAGGCCAGGGAUGGUGAUUUCUCCAGAAACUCUUGUAUUGUUGAGAAUUGUUUUUGCUAUCUUGGGUGGAUUCCAUAUGAAGUUGAGAAUCGCUCUUUCUAUCUAUGUGAAGAAUUGAGUUGGAAUUUUGAUGGGGAUUGCACAGAAUCUGUAGAUUGCU